GUUUGUUCAAUUUCUAUAAGAUUUAAAUUGAUGCAGCAUCAUCUCAGAUUAGUUAAUGGUAGUUUUAUACAAAUAGUUGAGUUAUGAGCGCGCUAUAUAAAUGGAUCCUUUCUUUAAAUAUAAUACUAUAGUAGAUUAAAGUAAUGAAGUUAAUUAAGAAAAUGUAUACAUAAGAAUCCCUAAAAUAAAUCUAAACUAAAAUUGGUAUACCUUCCAAUAAUAUGUUCUGAAUACAGCUGUUAACUGUUUAUUUUGUGUAAAUGGUGAUUGUGAUAAUGUGUGAUAAGUGUGCAGUUUAAUUUGAAAGUGGUUUAAUUUAUAUGUUGCUGUAUUGUUUUAAAUUAUAUGUGAAUCAGUUUGUCACAGUCUAGUGAUACUGAUAAGAAUGACAGCCAAAUAACCUAGCAAAUAACUGUUUUAUUAGUUGUUGAAUACUAGCGUUUUGGCCAAGAAUAGUUGGAGAUUUGGAGGUGUUAGUUUAAGAUUGCUUUUAUAUUGUGUGUAUCCGUGUUUCCUAGGAGGGAGACAGAGUGUGUAGUUGUGUGCCCAUAAAUGUGAUUUCUGUAUUGGCAUAUCUGCUGGGUACCCAUUAUGUGUUUCUACAAAGAUAUUGCUUUGUGAGAUGACGUGUAAUAUUACAUGGGAUGCUGAGUAUGAGUUAUAUGGUUUGAAAUGAAUU